UGUUAAAUGUCAUAUCGUUUCUAAGCUAUUGAAUGUCGACAACGAAAACGAAAUGGAAAUAAAUAUCUCUAGCAUUAAUUGAACAAAAUUCCUUUCUUAUUGUGCUGGAAUUACAAUGGCAUAAUAUAUGGCCUCUCUGUGUGGCUAUUCUAUCUUGAAACCCUUGUGGUUAGGCGUUUGUCUCGCUGAUAAUAUCUGGCCUCACAACCCACAAGAAUGCCGAUUCUUGAAGUUGGGUUUCAUCAAAAACAGUAAAGCUGCCAAAUGCAACAUAAAUGACUGAUUUGGGUGGUUGUUGGUCUAGCCAUUUCAUGCAAGUUGAAAUUGGUAUAAUCUCUGAGGUCAAUGUGAAUGGCAAUGCUCCAGGCUCAAGAUCAUAUGCUGAGUUACAAAUUUUCCGGUCUGCCAUUUUCGUAAUCUUGAUGGUUUUAAACGCAUUGCUGGAGUCAACUGAAUCAUUUGGUUCUUCAGCGAGUUCCUUAACAGAGUGAAAAUUUAUAAAGAACUGCACGUCUUCCCAGUGAACUUUUAAUCCUACUUUACAAGGUCUAAUGUGGAAAUGCCAAAAUAUGCUGUGUUUAGUUAAUCAUCAGAGUACGUUCAUUUAUCACUUCCAAGAAUCCUAUUUUGCACGCCAUUUGUUUGAGUAAUGUACGGUGAAUAAUUUGUGGAUCAUUUUUGUAAGUUAUCCCUAAAAACAUCAAGGUUAUUUCUGUUUGUGUC